UAGCAGUAGGGAAUCUUCCACAAUGGGCGAAAGCCUGAUGGAGCAACGCCGCGUGAGUGAAGAAGGUCUUCGGAUCGUAAAGCUCUGUUGUUAGAGAAGAACACUGAUGAGAGUAACUGUUCAUCAGUUGACGGUAUCUAACCAGCAAGUCACGGCUAACUACGUGCCAGCAGCCGCGGUAAUACGUAGGUGGCAAGCGUUAUCCGGAUUUAUUGGGCGUAAAGGGAACGCAGGCGGUUUUUUAAGUCUGAUGUGAAAGCCUUCGGCUUAACCGGAGAAUAGCAUUGGAAACUGGAAGACUUGAGUGCAGAAGAGGAGAGUGGAACUCCAUGUGUAGCGGUG
rnacentral:rRNA from 1 species